GAUGAAGAACGUAGUGAAAUGCGAUAAGUAAUGCGAAUUGCAGAAUUCAGUGAGUCAUCGAAUCUUUGAACGCACAUUGCGCCCUGUGGUAUUCCGCAGGGCAUGCCUGUUCGAGCGUCAUUACAACCCUUAAGCCUAGCUGCUUAGCGUUGGGAACUUAGCCUCCAAAGCUAAUUCCUUAAAGACAUUGGCAGAGUUGCGGCAUACUCUAAGCGUAGUAAUUUAUUCUCGCUUCUGAAGGUGUCGUGACGAUCGCCACAAACCUCUAUAUUUCUAGUGGUUGACCUCGGAUCAGGUAGGAAUACCCGCUGAACUUAAGCAUAUCAAUAAGCGGAGGA
rnacentral:misc_RNA from 1 species